AGAGUUUGAUCCUGGCUCAGAAUGAACGCUGGCGGCGUGCUUAACACAUGCAAGUCGCACGAGAACGCUUCAGCUUGCUGAAGUUAGUAAAGUGGCGCACGGGUGAGUAACGCGUGGGUAAUCUACCCUUGAAUUGGGGAUAACCCGCCGAAAGGCGGGCUAAUACCGAAUGACAUCUUGAAAACUUAUGUUUUCAGGAUCAAAGGUGGCCUCUACAUGUAAGCUAUUGUUUGGGGAUGAGCCCGCGUACCAUUAGCUUGUUGGUAGGGUAAUGGCCUACCAAGGCUACGAUGGUUAGCUGGUCUGAGAGGAUGAUCAGCCACACUGGAACUGACACACGGUCCAGACUCCUACGGGAGGCAGCAGUGAGGAAUUUUGCGCAAUGGGGGAAACCCUGACGCAGCAACGCCGCGUGAGUGAUGAAGGCUUUCGGGUCGUAAAGCUCUGUCAAGUGGGAAGAAGUCAUAUGGUGUUAAUACUGCCAUGUGUUGACGGUACCACUGAAGGAAGCACCGGCUAACUCCGUGCCAGCAGCCGCGGUAAUACGGGGGGUGCGAGCGUUAUUCGGAAUUACUGGGCGUAAAGAGCGCGUAGGCGGUCUUUUAAGUCAGGUGUGAAAGCCCGGGGCUCAACCCCGGAAGUGCACUUGAAACUAAGAGACUUGAGUAUGGGAGAGGGAAGUGGA
rnacentral:rRNA from 1 species